AGGCGUGAGCCACCACGCCCGGCCUAUGAAUUAUUAAUAAUACUUUCACUGCAAAAGACCUUAUUUAUGAGGGAAAAGCAUUAUGUGAUAGUUAACGAUAGUUAAUACUUAUUAAAAUGAAGGGAAGAAAUUGUAAGAUUGGGUAAAGUAUAAUAUUUCAGUUGUUCAUGACCUACCUAUCUUUUUCAUUAAGGUACUAUGGAAAUUUUCCUGGGUCUGAACUUUCUUAAAAGGAUGAGAACGAGUACAAUUUGUGAUGUGAUGAAGUCCGUUACAACUGAAAGCGACACUCUGAUCCACUAGAUUCCAAACAGUUUAAACAGUAAAAACUGACCGAGUAAAUGUGAAUAUUUUUUCACUUGAACACUCUGAUCUGUUUGGAACUUAAUUUCCUUACUCAUGAAAUUAAUAUAAUAAGGCUAAGUUGGUCAGUAGUUAAACUAACUAAAUUUGGCUGAAGAUUGCUAUGUUCACUAUGCAAAGAUUAGACCGUUAGUUCCCUGAGUGAAGAGAUGCUAUCUUGGUAUCUCCAGCUUCCAACCGGGGGCUUGGCACAGAAUAGGGGCUUGGUAAAUGUUUUCCAAAUGAAUGGGAUGUCUGAUGGAAAGAAGACAAGGUGAAGGAAUUCCUGGGUAAUAUGGAGAUGAGAAUCUGUGAGAAGGAUACAUGUACUGAUGCCUGUCGCGGUGGACACACAGACGCACACAUUGCGGAACACCACCAUAAGAAUAUUGAGAAUAUCGAGAACACUUCAAUAUUCCAAACUUCAAUGGAAAUAUACGUAGGUUUCACUUAACUAUGGUCCUGAUGGCUUUUUUGAAAAAGAAAGAAAGAAAAAAUGUUUUCAUCAUAUUAAGAAAAUGUCUUAGUCUUAGUUCAGAGAUUUCAUCAGAAAAUGAUGUUGAUUUAUAUAAAAGCUUUUUCAUAGAUAUAUCAAACCUAUAGAAAUUAUAAUGCAUUUUUCUCCUCUUUUGAUAUAUUGAUACAAUGCUGCAGAUCUUCUAAGAUUGAAUGAUCCUUGCAUUACUGAAAUAAGUAUUGUCAUAGUGUAUUAUCAUUUUAUUACAGUAUGCAUUUGAUUUUUCUGGUGUUUUAUUUUUGUCAUUUCCGUCUAUAUAAAGUAAAAUUAGUCUACAUGGGGUAUAUGUGUGUGCAUGUGCAUGUGUGCAUGUGUGUGUGUGUGUAUUUGCUAUUUUGGUCAGGUUUGCUAUUAGCACUAUGGAAGGUUAUAAAAUAAGUUGGACAGCUGUCUAUUUUUUUUUAGAUGCUGUAAAAUUUCAAAUUCAUGCUCCACUUCUUAUAAAAGAAAUCCAGCAGCUUAAGGGUAGAAGAAAGAUAACAGGAGUCUGUCCCUUCGGCCAAAGAGUUUCUUUUCAAAGUUCGUGGUGGCAGCCUGAUGUCAGCUGGGGAAGAAGCUCCAUUCUUUUUCUGGCAGAACUGACUUCUUUGCGGGAGAGCUGUGGCAGCCCCUUUGCUUAUUCCCAGCAUGGAAAGACCACAAGAUCCCUGCUCCUUAUGGCUCUGGCAUGCAAUGCACUCCCUAGAGGGACCCCUUACAAGGCUACCAAUAACCUAUCAGCACCUCCAACUCUUACUACUGCACUGAAGGUUAGAGUCAGAUUUUGAUGAUGUCUCUUUUCAUUAAAUUUCCAGACUACAUAGAAACC